UCCGGAGGCUGAGGCAAGAGGAUCGCUUGAGCCCAGGAGUUUAAGGUUGCUGUGAGCUAUGUUGCCAGGUACUCUAGCGUGGGCGACAGUGAGACUCCUAAGAGAGGUCAAGCAGGAGAGUCAGCCGGACUGCCGAAGAGGGUGGAAUUCCUUCCGGAAGUGACGCACGGGAAGUUACGCCAUGAAGGCGGCACCUGGAGGUGGAGGGCGUCGUAAUGGGCGGGGCGCAGCGCUGGGCUUUCGCUAGGCGACUUGGAUCCCCAGCAGUUUUCCAGAAUGCUGCUGCCUAUGGACUCUGAAAUGGACUUCAUUUAAAGAACCCCUUGGAUCAUUCAUGUACAAAGACAUGAAUCAUGUAUUGUGGCAUUCAAAUCCUAGCACUCUGGGAGAGCAUCAAGUACCAAGUUUUUGAAGACCUUGGCCUACCAUCAGUAUGCAUUCAAGAUUUGAGUUUGAAUAACCUCAUCAAGACUUAGAUCUUCUUCAAAAGCUUCAAGUCUCAUCUGCAUUAGUGCUCUCCAUUCAACUCCUUCACAAAAGUGAAAGCUUAAAA